AUUGAACGCUGGCGGCAGGCCUAACACAUGCAAGUCGAGCGGUGCGGAGGACGGGCGAGGAAUGCCUAGGUAUCUGCGUGGUAGUGGGGGAUAAGGUCCGGACAUGGGGGCAAAGAUCCUAAUCCAUCAGACGAGACUAGGUCGGAUGAGCGAGUUGGUGGGGUAAAGGCCUACCAAGGCGACGAUCCGUAACUGGUCUGCGAGGAUGAUCAGUCACACUGUAACUGAGACACGGUCCAGACUCCUACGGGAGGCAGCAGUGGGGAAUAUUGGACAAUGGGGGAAAGCCUGAUCCAGCCAUGCCGCGUGUGUGAAGAAGGUCUUCGGAUUGUAAAGCACUUUAAGUUGGUAGGCGUUACCAGCAGAAUAAGCACCGGCUAACUUCGUGCCAGCAGCCGCGGUAAUUC
rnacentral:rRNA from 1 species